GUACUCACUUCGGCAGCACAUAUAAUAAAAUUGGAACGAUACAGGGAAGAAUAGCAUGGCCCCUGUGCAAGGAUGACACACAAAUUCAUGAAGCAAACUCAUGGGCU
ensembl:snRNA U6 U6 spliceosomal RNA